rnacentral:rRNA from 1 species
ACAGGUGCUGCAUGGCUGUCGUCAGCUCGUGUCGUGAGAUGUUCGGUUAAGUCCGCUAACGAGCGCAACCCUCGUCGUGUGUUAUACGUGUCACACGAUACUGCCGGUAUCAAGCCGGAGGAAGGUGGGGAUGAUGUCAAGUCAGCAUGGCCUUUAUAUCCUGGGCUACACACACGCUACAAUGGCAGAUACAAUAGGUUGCGAAACCGCGAGGUGGAGCCAAUCCUCAAAGUCUGUCUCAGUUCAGAUUGUAGGCUGCAACUCGCCUGCAUGAAGUUGGAGUUGCUAGUAAACGCAGGUCAGCUAUACUGCGUUGAAUACGUUCCCGGGGUUU